GUGCUCACCUCAGCAGCACACACGCUAAAAUUGGAACGAUAUGAGGAAGAUGAGCACAGCCCCUGUGCAAGGACGACACACAAAUCCGUGACACGUUCCGUAUUAAG
rnacentral:snRNA from 1 species